GAAAUGCGUAGAUAUAUGGAAGAACACCAGUGGCGAAGGCGGCUGUCUGGUCUGUAACUGACGCUGAGGCUCGAAAGUAUGGGUAGCAAACAGGAUUAGAUACCCUGGUAGUCCCAUACCCGUAAACGAUGAAUGCUAAGUGUUGGAGGGUUUCCGCCCCUUCCAGUGCUGCAGCUAACGCAUUAAGCAUUCCGCCUGGGGAGUACGGCCGCAAGGCUGAAACUCAAAGGAAUUGACGGGGGCCCGCACAAGCGGUGGAGCAUGUGGUUUAAUUCGAAGCUACGCGAAGAACCUUACCAGGUCUUGACAUACUAUGCAAAUCUAAGAGAUUAGACGUUCCCUUCGGGGACAUGGAUACAGGUGGUGCAUGGUUGUCGUCAGCUCGUGUCGUGAGAUGUUGGGUUAAGUCCCGCAACGAGCGCAACCCUUAUUAUCAGUUGCCAGCAUUAAGUUGGGCACUCUGGUGAGACUGCCGGUGACAAACCGGAGGAAGGUGGGGAUGACGUCAAAUCAUCAUGCCCCUUAUGACCUGGGCUACACACGUGCUACAAUGGAUGGUACAACGAGUUGCGAACUCGCGAGAGUAAGCUAAUCUCUUAAAGCCAUUCUCAGUUCGGAUUGUAGGCUGCAACUCGCCUACAUGAAGUCGGAAUCGCUAGUAAUCGCGGAUCAGCAUGCCGCGGUGAAUACGUUCCCGGGCCUUGUACACACCGCCCGUCACACCAUGAGAGUUUGUAACACCCAAAGUCGGUGGGGUAACCUUUAGGAACCA
rnacentral:rRNA from 2 species